CGACGUGAGCAAUCUGCCUUCAAGAGGGGGAUAACAGUCGGAAACGGCUGCUAAUACCGCAUAAAGCAUCAAAUUCGCAUGUUUUUGAUGCCAAAGGAGCAAUCCGCUUUUAGAUGAGCUCGCGUCUGAUUAGCUGGUUGGCGGGGUAACGGCCCACCAAGGCGACGAUCAGUAGCCGGACUGAGAGGUUGAACGGCCACAUUGGGACUGAGACACGGCCCAG
rnacentral:rRNA from 1 species